AUUGAACGCUGGCGGCAGGCCUAACACAUGCAAGUCGUGCGAGCGGCGGACGGGCGAGUAAUGUCUGGGAAACUGCUUGUUGGAGGGGGAUAACUACUGGAAACGGUAGCUAAUACCGCAUACCAUCAGAUGUGCCCCGAUGGGAUUAGCGAGUGGGUGGGGUAACGGCUCACUUAGGCGACGAUCCCUAGCUGGUCUGAGAGGAUGACCAGCCACACUGGAACUGAGACACGGUCCAGACUCCGACGGGAGGCAGCAGUGGGGAAUAUUGCACAAUGGGCGCAAGCCUGAUGCAGCCAUGCCGCGUGUGUGAAGAAGGCCUUCGGGUUGUGAAGCACUUUCAGCGGGGAGGCGUUACCCGCAGAAGAAGCACCGGCUGACUCCAUGCCAGCCGCCGCGGUAAUUC
rnacentral:rRNA from 1 species